ACGGUAACAACUGGUCCUGUACAUUAAACCUUUACAGUCUGGCUCCAACAGUCCACUCCACAGACAGACUGUACACAGCUUGGAGCUGCUGUGACGUCCUGCGGUCACACACAUAUGUGCACGUAGACACAAACUGGAGCACUUCAACCACCUCUGCACGGACUCGGACUGCGGCCUCAUUAAAUAUUUAGCAGGAUUUGUAAUAAUUUGUCAGCAGAGAGCGAGUCACGGUCAGAUCGGCGGUAACUCUGCACCACAGUUCCUGAAGAGCAGAUCUCAGACGAUCGAUGGACGCUCUCACCGUUAGCGUCAGCGUGAAAGCUGCGCUGAUGUCAGAGUAUUUACAGCAGGAGCUGACUCUCCAGAGAGCCUCUCCGCCCACGGUCUGAUAGUGAUGGCUCAGCGGCGAGCUGGAGGACGUUUCCCCAACAUGGAGGAGGGAGGCAGCUGGUUAUCAUUUCCUGUGAAGAGCUUGAGCAAAGACCUGAGUCACUGUCGGAUCAGACCUGAGUCACCACCAGCCGCCUGCAGAGGAGCAUCCAAGGACACGACAGAGUCUGCAUGAAGAAACAGGAGCACCUCCAGCCCCACUGUACAGUCUUUACCGUUAAAUAUUGCCCUGUGUGACACCACAGGGGUGCGUGCGUGUGUGUAAUACCGCAGGUGUCACACACACGCUGUGACGUAUCCACAGACUCCUCUUCUCUACGAUAUUUAAGUUAUCGAUCGAUUAGUCUGGAAACCUGCUCUUAUUCAGAAAAAAUAGAUCUGUGUCACUGUAAACUAAUCCAGAGUCUAUUAAAAAUUAGCUCAGUUUAAAUAAUUGUGUUUGUGGCCUUAAAUAUAAAACUAACACAGACUGACUUUCUCUCCUUGAGUUCAGCUAAUAAACGGUCCACUGUAUUAUAAAACCAUGAAUAAUGAAGUUGAAGCCACAGCCUUGAGGAACACGUAGAGUCAAACUGCAUCAACUGGUUUCAUUAUUAUUUAAGUUGAGGAUGUUUCAUGUGAUCAACGCUCGAAGAUCCAAUGUUUAGUUUGCGAUACUGUGCAGAAGUCUUGAGCCAAAACUCAUUAUAUUUUGCUUUUAAGGA